rnacentral:rRNA from 1 species
GGUUAAGCGACUAAGCGUACACGGUGGAUGCCCUGGCAGUCAGAGGCGAUGAAGGACGUGCUAAUCUGCGAUAAGCGUCGGUAAGGUGAUAUGAACCGUUAUAACCGGCGAUUUCCGAAUGGGGAAACCCAGUGUGAUUCGUCACACUAUCAUUAACUGAAUCCAUAGGUUAAUGAGGCGAACCGGGGGAACUGAAACAUCUAAGUACCCCGAGGAAAAGAAAUCAACCGAGAUUCCCCCAGUAGCGGCGAGCGAACGGGGAGCAGCCCAGAGCCUGAAUCAGUGUGUGUGUUAGUGGAAGCGUCUGGAAAGGCGUGCGAUACAGGGUGACAGCCCCGUACACAAAAAUGCACAUGCUGUGAGCUCGAUGAGUAGGGCGGGACACGUGGUAUCCUGUCUGAAUAUGGGGGGACCAUCCUCCAAGGCUAAAUACUCCUGACUGACCGAUAGUGAACCAGUACCGUGAGGGAAAGGCGAAAAGAACCCCGGCGAGGGGAGUGAAAAAGAACCUGAAACCGUGUACGUACAAGCAGUGGGAGCACAGAGCAAUCUGUGUGACUGCGUACCUUUUGUAUAAUGGGUCAGCGACUUAUAUUCUGUAGCAAGGUUAACCGAAUAGGGGAGCCGAAGGGAAACCGAGUCUUAACUGGGCGUUAAGUUGCAGGGUAUAGACCCGAAACCCGGUGAUCUAGCCAUGGGCAGGUUGAAGGUUGGGUAACACUAACUGGAGGACCGAACCGACUAAUGUUGAAAAAUUAGCGGAUGACUUGUGGCUGGGGGUGAAAGGCCAAUCAAACCGGGAGAUAGCUGGUUCUCCCCGAAAGCUAUUUAGGUAGCGCCUCGUGAAUUCAUCUCCGGGGGUAGAGCACUGUUUCGGCAAGGGGGUCAUCCCGACUUACCAACCCGAUGCAAACUGCGAAUACCGGAGAAUGUUAUCACGGGAGACACACGGCGGGUGCUAACGUCCGUCGUGAAGAGGGAAACAACCCAGACCGCCAGCUAAGGUCCCAAAGUCAUGGUUAAGUGGGAAACGAUGUGGGAAGGCCCAGACAGCCAGGAUGUUGGCUUAGAAGCAGCCAUCAUUUAAAGAAAGCGUAAUAGCUCACUGGUCGAGUCGGCCUGCGCGGAAGAUGUAACGGGGCUAAACCAUG